UUUUAAGGGUCCUUUCUGUCUCUCGUUUUUCUACACGUCUAGGAUUUUAAUUCCUGCUUGACAUUUGACUAAGCAGAAGACAUCGGUGAAGAGAACAUCUCAUUUAAACACCUGUAGGGACAGAUUGGGUGAGCCCCGGCCUGAAAGCAGAAAUCUGCAAGUAAGAACCAGUCUGGAAGUCACAGCAAGGCGUUUCUGUUUCCCCCACGGUGUUUUCCAGGGAGGAACUAAGAGAGGAGAUUGGGAAAUUGCUUUCAAAUACACUGCAGAACAUAGGAGCUCUAAGGUCAUUAUGCACUUGCUAGUUCCUGAGGGCCGUUUCCUCUAUAAUGAACAUGUACUUCUUUUUUUUUUUUCUUCUUUUCUUUUUUUUCGG
rnacentral:lncRNA from 1 species